AGCGAACGCUGGCGGCAGGCUUAACACAUGCAAGUCGAGCGGGCGUAGCAAUACGUCAGCGGCAGACGGGUGAGUAACGCGUGGGAACGCACCUUUUGGUUCGGAACAACACAGGGAAACUUGUGCUAAUACCGAAUAAGCCCUUACGGGGAAAGAUUUAUCGCCGAAAGAUCGGCCCGCGUCUGAUUAGCUAGUUGGUGAGGUAACGGCUCACCAAGGCGACGAUCAGUAGCUGGUCUGAGAGGAUGAUCAGCCACAUUGGGACUGAGACACGGCCCAAACUCCUACGGGAGGCAGCAGUGGGGAAUAUUGGACAAUGGGGGCAACCCUGAUCCAGCCAUGCCGCGUGAGUGAUGAAGGCCCUAGGGUUGUAAAGCUCUUUUGUGCGGGAAGAUAAUGACGGUACCGCAAGAAUAAGCCCCGGCUAACUUCGUGCCAGCAGCCGCAGUAAAAC
rnacentral:rRNA from 1 species